GAGUGCUUGCAACAAGCAUGGCGGACUGAGAUACACUGAGGAAGAGCAGCAGAGGAGGGCAGGAUGCGCCCUGCCGCGGAGAGUUAAGACAAGCCCUGUCGUCUGCGGGCUCUCACCUCAGAGUCAAUAUUAUCUCAGAUGGGCACAAUAGACUGGAAUGAAAAGCUAAUAUUGAACCAACGCGGUCCCUGCCGCGCCGCGCCGAUGCCACCCUUUGUCGCGCAGCCCCCGCCGCCCGAAGAGUUUGGAGAAGCGGAGUGACUGGGAAUCACAGUGAAUUACCGAACUUCCUAACUUGCCUCCCCGUCUCUGGUCACCUUUUGCCAGCCUUGGACCCGGGAGAGGGCUCACCCUUCGCCGGCAGCCGGCAGCGGCGCUUCCCGCGCGGCGCCGCUGACGCACAGUGAAGACUCAGAGCUUUGGCUGGUCCGGAGACUCCAAACCCGGGUGACCUGGGUAUGGCGCGGUGCUCAUGGGCCAGAGCGCACAAGGCUCGGGUUGCAAAUGCUGUAACUAAAAUGUGAUGAGCGCAAACAGUGUGCCAAGCUCACCUAUUCAACAACCAUUAAGAUAUUGAUAUUUCCUUUUCACGGAGGCGACAGCCAAGGCUGGAGAAAAUGGAAUCAUACAGCCCUGAACCCAGAGGACUCCUACGCACCCCCAGUCAGGGCCCACUCCAGAGCAAUGGGAGAGGGAGCGGGCCCUCGGGCGGCUGUUCCUCGGAAGUGUAAGGGCCAGACAAACUCCGAGCAGCGAGCAGCGGUUCUCAGAGCUCCCCAGGAAUCUCUGCCCUUUGUCGCUCCAGUGAGCUAGGACUCCAGGCUCCUCUCACCCUGGCACCUCCUAAAGGAACUUCAGGGCCUCUGCUGGAGCUUGGAGCAGCGUCAGACCGGCGUUAACUCAUUUGUACAACUUGAUUGUUCAGUCUUUGAAGACCAGCAUCUUGCCUUGUGUGGGUAGACAAUAACAGCCACAUCCAGGACAGGAGCUUUUACUGAAGAUCAUUAUGUGCCAGGCAUUGUCUGAACGCUUUAGUUUUUCUCAUUAAAUAAUUCCAAG
ensembl:lncRNA